rnacentral:rRNA from 1 species
CACAUAGGCGGCCUGUUAAGUGUGGAGUGAAAUCCCACGGCUCACCCGUGGAACUGCUUCGCAUACUGGCAAGCUCGAGGACGGUAGGGGAGAGCGGAACUCUUGGUGGAGCGGUGAAAUGCGUAGAUAUCAAGAGGAACACCGAUGGCGAAGGCAGCUCUCUGGUCCGUUUCUGACGCUGAGGUGCGAAAGCUAGGGUAGCGAACG